AUUGAACGCUGGCGGCCGGCCUAACACAUGCAAGUCGAGCGAGCGGCGGACGGGUGAGUAAUGCCUGGGAAUUGCCCAGUCGAGGGGGAUAACAGUGGGAAACGACUGCUCAUACCGCCUACGAUUGGAUUGCCCAGGUGGGAUUGGCUAGUUGGUGAGGUAAUGGCUCACCAAUGGGACGAUCCCUAGCUGGUCUGAGCGGAUGAUCAUCCACACUGGAACUGCGACACGGUCCAGACUCCGUCGGGAGACAGCAGUGGGGAAUAUUGCACGUUGGGGGAAACCCUGAUGCAGCCAUGCCGCGUGUGUGAAGAGGGCCUUCGGGUUGUAAAGCACUUUCAGCGAGGAGGCGUUACUCGCAGAAGAAGCACCGGCUAAGUCCGUGACAGCAGCCGCGGUAAUAC
rnacentral:rRNA from 1 species